rnacentral:rRNA from 1 species
AGAAUCAACGCUGGCGGCGUGCCUAACACAUGCAAGUCGAACGAGAAAGUGGAGCAAUCCAUUAGUAAAGUGGCGCACGGGUGAGUAACACGUGACUAACCUACCCUUGAGUGGGGGAUAACCUAGGGAAACCUGGGCUAAUACCGCAUAAUACCUUCGGGUCAAAGGAGCAAUUCGCUUAAGGAGGGGGUCGCGGCCGAUUAGUUAGUUGGCGGGGUAAUGGCCCACCAAGACGAUGAUCGGUAUCCGGCCUGAGAGGGCGCACGGACACACUGGAACUGAAACACGGUCCAGACUCCUACGGGAGGCAGCAGUGGGGAAUUUUGCGCAAUGGGGGAAACCCUGACGCAGCAACGCCGCGUGGAGGAUGAAGCCCCUUGGGGCGUAAACUCCUUUCGAUCGGGACGAUUAUGACGGUACCGGAGAAGAAGCCCCGGCUAACUUCGCGCCAGCAGCCGC